rnacentral:rRNA from 1 species
UUAACUGGGCGUUAAGUUGCAGGGUAUAGACCCGAAACCCGGUGAUCUAGCCAUGGGCAGGUUGAAGGUUGGGUAACACUAACUGGAGGACCGAACCGACUAAUGUUGAAAAAUUAGCGGAUGACUUGUGGCUGGGGGUGAAAGGCCAAUCAAACCGGGAGAUAGCUGGUUCUCCCCGAAAGCUAUUUAGGUAGCGCCUCGUGAAUUCAUCUCCGGGGGUAGAGCACUGUUUCGGCAAGGGGGUCAUCCCGACUUACCAACCCGAUGCAAACUGCGAAUACCGGAGAAUGUUAUCACGGGAGACACACGGCGGGUGCUAACGUCCGUCGUGAAGAGGGAAACAACCCAGACCGCCAGCUAAGGUCCCAAAGUCAUGGUUAAGUGGGAAACGAUGUGGGAAGGCCCAGACAGCCAGGAUGUUGGCUUAGAAGCAGCCAUCAUUUAAAGAAAGCGUAAUAGCUCACUGGUCGAGUCGGCCUGCGCGGAAGAUGUAACGGGGCUAAACCAUGCACCGAAGCUGCGGCAGCGACACUAUGUGUUGUUGGGUAGGGGAGCGUUCUGUAAGCCUGUGAAGGUGGCCUGUGAGGGUUGCUGGAGGUAUCAGAAGUGCGAAUGCUGACAUAAGUAACGAUAAAGCGGGUGAAAAGCCCGCUCGCCGGAAGACCAAGGGUUCCUGUCCAACGUUAAUCGGGGCAGGGUGAGUCGACCCCUAAGGCGAGGCCGAAAGGCGUAGUCGAUGGGAAACAGGUUAAUAUUCCUGUACUUGGUGUUACUGCGAAGGGGGGACGGAGAAGGCUAUGUUGGCCGGGCGACGGUUGUCCCGGUUUAAGCGUGUAGGCUGGUUUUCCAGGCAAAUCCGGAAAACCAAGGCUGAGGCGUGAUGACGAGGCACUACGGUGCUGAAGCGACAAAUGCCCUGCUUCCAGGAAAAGCCUCUAAGCAUCAGGUAACAUCAAAUCGUACCCCAAACCGACACAGGUGGUCAGGUAGAGAAUACCAAGGCGCUUGAGAGAACUCGGGUGAAGGAACUAGGCAAAAUGGUGCCGUAACUUCGGGAGAAGGCACGCUGAUAUGUAGGUGAAGCGACUUGCUCGUGGAGCUGAAAUCAGUCGAAGAUACCAGCUGGCUGCAACUGUUUAUUAAAAACACAGCACUGUGCAAACACGAAAGUGGACGUAUACGGUGUGACGCCUGCCCGGUGCCGGAAGGUUAAUUGAUGGGGUUAGCGGCAACGCGAAGCUCUUGAUCGAAGCCCCGGUAAACGGCGGCCGUAACUAUAACGGUCCUAAGGUAGCGAAAUUCCUUGUCGGGUAAGUUCCGACCUGCACGAAUGGCGUAAUGAUGGCCAGGCUGUCUCCACCCGAGACUCAGUGAAAUUGAACUCGCUGUGAAGAUGCAGUGUACCCGCGGCAAGACGGAAAGACCCCGUGAACCUUUACUAUAGCUUGACACUGAACAUUGAGCCUUGAUGUGUAGGAUAGGUGGGAGGCUUUGAAGUGUGGACGCCAGUCUGCAUGGAGCCGACCUUGAAAUACCACCCUUUAAUGUUUGAUGUUCUAACGUUGGCCCGUAAUCCGGGUUGCGGACAGUGUCUGGUGGGUAGUUUGACUGGGGCGGUCUCCUCCUAAAGAGUAACGGAGGAGCACGAAGGUUGGCUAAUCCUGGUCGGACAUCAGGAGGUUAGUGCAAUGGCAUAAGCCAGCUUGACUGCGAGCGUGACGGCGCGAGCAGGUGCGAAAGCAGGUCAUAGUGAUCCGGUGGUUCUGAAUGGAAGGGCCAUCGCUCAACGGAUAAAAGGUACUCCGGGGAUAACAGGCUGAUACCGCCCAAGAGUUCAUAUCGACGGCGGUGUUUGGCACCUCGAUGUCGGCUCAUCACAUCCUGGGGCUGAAGUAGGUCCCAAGGGUAUGGCUGUUCGCCAUUUAAAGUGGUACGCGAGCUGGGUUUAGAACGUCGUGAGACAGUUCGGUCCCUAUCUGCCGUGGGCGCUGGAGAACUGAGGGGGGCUGCUCCUAGUACGAGAGGACCGGAGUGGACGCAUCACUGGUGUUCGGGUUGUCAUGCCAAUGGCACUGCCCGGUAGCUAAAUGCGGAAGAGAUAAGUGCUGAAAGCAUCUAAGCACGAAACUUGCCCCGAGAUGAGUUCUCCCUGACUCCUUGAGAGUCCUGAAGGAACGUUGAAGACGACGACGUUGAUAGGCCGGGUGUGUAAGCGCAGCGAUGCGUUGAGCUAACCGGUACUAAUGAACCGUGAGGCUUAACCUU